GACGAACGCUGGCGGCGUGCUUAACACAUGCAAGUCGAACGGAAAGGCCCUGCUUUUGUGGGGUGCUCGAGUGGCGAACGGGUGAGUAACACGUGAGUAACCUGCCCUUGACUUUGGGAUAACUUCAGGAAACUGGGGCUAAUACCGGAUAGGAGCUCCUGCUGCAUGGGGGGGGGUGGAAAGUUUCGGCGGUUGGGGAUGGACUCGGGGCUUAUCAGCUUGUUGGUGGGGUAGUGGCUUACCAAGGCUUUGACGGGUAGCCGGCCUGAGAGGGUGACCGGCCACAUUGGGCCUGAGAUACGGCCCAGACUCCUACGGGAGGCAGCAGUGGGGAAUAUUGCACAAUGGGCGGAAGCCUGAUGAAGCAACGCCGCGUGCGGGAUGACGGCCUUCGGGUUGUAACCCGCUUUCGCCUGUGACGAAGCGUGAGUGACGGUAAUGGGUAAAGAAGCACCGGCUAACUACGUG
rnacentral:rRNA from 1 species